AACGAACGCUGGCGGCAUGCCUAACACAUGCAAGUCGAACGAGACCUUCGGGUCUAGUGGCGCACGGGUGCGUAACGCGUGGGAAUCUGCCCUUGGGUUCGGAAUAACAGUUGGAAACGACUGCUAAUACCGGAUGAUGACGUAAGUCCAAAGAUUUAUCGCCCAAGGAUGAGCCCGCGUAGGAUUAGCUAGUUGGUGAGGUAAAGGCUCACCAAGGCGACGAUCCUUGGCUGGUCUGAGAGGAUGAUCAGCCACACUGGGACUGAGACACGGCCCAGACUCCUACGGGAGGCAGCAGUGGGGAAUAUUGGACAAUGGGCGAAAGCCUGAUCCAGCAAUGCCGCGUGAGUGAUGAAGGCCUUAGGGUUGUAAAGCUCUUUACCCGGGAUGAUAAUGACAGUACCGGGAGAAUAAGCUCCGGCUAACUCCGUGCCAGCAGCCGCGGUAAGUGACUACUG
rnacentral:rRNA from 1 species